UCUUGGAAUGUACUUCGCAUAGACAGCGUAGCCCAACACCACCCUACAUAGUAUCGACUCAAAAUCCGAGACAAACUUACAUCGCUCUAAACUCGUAAAAUUGAGCUUCUUUGGAAGAAAACAACACCACAGACGGAAACAUUUAUAUCCCAACAAAGUUUAUUUCAUGAAUAAGAGCAUUACGAUAUAACUCAUAGAUGUUUAUUUGCAUGAAAUCGUAUGUCCUUAGAAAUCCUUCACUGACGCGGGUGGGAAGCCUGUGCGCAAGACUAUUCUAAAGGGGACUUCACCUUUUCGAGGAUUUUAAAGUUUGGAAAAAUGCGAAAAAUAUCAUGGUAGCGUAAAAUACACCAAGCACAUUAGCCAUCAUUAGACAAUCAACAGAAGCUCCCUGAAACAUCAUUUGUGUUGUCUGCGAGACAAGCUGUAAUCGUGUGGCUUUCACCUGUAAAGUUCCGUGUUUCCGGCAUAAAAUGGCCGCGAGCAAGAGGCCAUCUACCGUGGCCACGACGCAUAGAAAGGGAAGGGUCCAAAUAGUAGCACUAGUCAGAAUAACGCGCACAAACACAAAAUGAGAUAACAUGUGAGGGGUCACAAUAGCGCGAAAUUUGCGCCUGAACACAAAAUAACAUUACAUUUGAGGGGUUGAGCGAGUACACAAGAACAAUGAGAUUAAAUGUAGAAAAUAGAAUCGAGAUAGAACGGGAUGUACAAGCGCGCAUCUCGCGCUUGAACACAAGGAAAAUAAGAUUACAUCUGAAGGUAGAAGGAUUACAGAAGGAGAUAACAUGUGGUUUAAAUCUAAAUGGUUGCUUUUAUACAUUCACAAGAUGAUCACAUAUGAAAUUAUUUUAGCUUUUGUGCGCGGGUACCUUCGCUGUUACAUACUAACGAAGAAAUACCGCGGUGCUUAAAGACACUUCCCUGGUAAUUGCCAACAUUUCCAAGAAAAAGGUAACUAUCAUGUUUAUUUAAAGUAAAAAAAGUAUAUAAUAUAAAUAAUAAAAUAGCACUUCUAUAUCUAUCUAAUAUAUAACAACGACCAUAGUAAUAUAGCCUACAGUAAGCGACUGAAAUAAUUUCAUUCUCAUGCCUAAAGCAGUUGCACCUCGCCGCUAAGUGAAUAAUAAAACACUCGCAAAUUCAAUUUUUUUAUUCUAUUCUAAAAUAUUCAAUCUUACUCUUUUAAUUUCGCAAGACGCCUUCUCUUUAGCGACCACUAAAACCAAGACAUUCUGGCCUACAAGGUGCGUGUGUUCCAGAGUAUGGCCUGGUAACGACGGCCAGAUUCUGACACCACAUGACGUCACAUGCAAGUGUUAUUCAUAACAUUUAUAUUCAUUACAUUAUAGUUAUUAUAUUGAUUAUAUUGACCAUCCGUUCAUAAAAUAUCAAACAAUCUACUCAGUGGAAACUGCUCAUUAUAGAUAUGUCAGUUCCAAAUUAUCACCAUAACUACACCAUUUAAGCUACCUUAGUUAACUCUAAGCGGAAAAUUGAUAUGAGUUAUCCUAAGUAAACCGAGGCGUCGCAGUCAGAAUACCAGAACUAACUAGACAGAGGGCAACGGCGACC